rnacentral:rRNA from 1 species
AUUGAACGCUGGCGGCAGGCUUAAUACAUGCAAGUCGAACGGUAACAGCAGAAAAGCUUGCUUUUUUGGCUGACGAGUGGCGGACGGGUGAGUAAUACCUAGGAAACUGCCUAAACGAGGGGGAUAACAUUUGGAAACGAGUGCUAAUACCGCAUAAUACUGAGAAGUCAAAGGUUGGUUUACCAAUCGCGUUUAGAUGUGCCUAGGAGGGAUUAGCUAGUUGGUGGGGUAAAGGCCUACCAAGGCGAUGAUCUCUAGCUGGUCUGAGAGGAUGACCAGCCACACUGGAACUGAGACACGGUCCAGACUCCUACGGGAGGCAGCAGUAGGGAAUAUUGCACAAUGGGGGGAACCCUGAUGCAGCCAUGCCGCGUGUGUGAAGAAGGCCU